rnacentral:rRNA from 1 species
UACAGAGGGUGCGAGCGUUGUCCGGAAUCACUGGGCGUAAAGGGCGCGUAGGUGGUGGCUUAAGCGUGCGGUGAAAGCUCGGGGCUCAACUCCGAGUCGGCCGUGCGAACUGGGCUCACUGGAGCAUAGUAGAGGCAGGUGGAAUUCCGGGUGUAGCGGUGGAAUGCGUAGAGAUCCGGAAGAACACCGGUGGCGAAGGCGGCCUGCUGGGCAGUUUUGCUGACACUGAGGCGCGACAGCGUGGGGAGCAAACAGG